CCUACGGGGGGCAGCAGUGAGGAAUAUUGGUCAAUGGUCGGGAGACUGAACCAGCCAAGUCGCGUGAGGGAUUAAGGCCCUGCGGGUCGUAAACCUCUUUUGCCGGGGAGCAGAGGUCCGGACGUGUCCGGGCCGGGAGAGUACCCGGAGAAAAAGCAUCGGCUAACUCCUUGCCAGCAGCCGCGGUAAUACGGAGGAUGCGAGCGUUAUCCGGAUUUAUUGGGUGUAAAGGGUGCGUAGACGGGAAAUUAAGUUAGUUGUGAAAUCCCUCGGCUUAACUGAGGAACUGCAACUAAAACUGAUUU
rnacentral:rRNA from 1 species